rnacentral:rRNA from 1 species
UACGGAGGGUGAGAGCGUUGUCCGGAAUCACUGGGCGUAAAGGGCGCGUAGGCGGCCUGGCAAGUCGAUGGUGAAAGCCCGAGGCUCAACUUCGGGUCGGCCACUGAUACUGCUGGGCUUGAGUCGACUAGAGGCAGAUGGAAUUCCGGGUGUAGCGGUGGAAUGCGUAGAGAUCCGGAAGAACACCGGUGGCGAAGGCGGUCUGCUGGGGUCGAACUGACGCUGAGGCGCGACAGCGUGGGGAGCAAACAGG